UACGGAGGGUGCGAGCGUUGUCCGGAAUCAUUGGGCGUAAAGGGCGCGUAGGUGGCCCGGUCAGCGUGCGGUGAAAGCUCGGGGCUCAACCCCGAGUCGGCCGUGCGAACUGCUGGGCUUGAGCACUGUAGAGGCAGGCGGAAUUCCGGGUGUAGCGGUGGAAUGCGUAGAGAUCCGGAAGAACACCGGUGGCGAAGGCGGCCUGCUGGGCAGUGGCUGACACUGGAGGCGCGAAGCGUGGGAGGCAAACAGGG
rnacentral:rRNA from 1 species